rnacentral:rRNA from 1 species
CCUACGGGGGGCUGCAGUGGGGAAUAUUGGACAAUGGGGGGAACCCUGAUCCAGCCAUGCCGCGUGUGUGAAGAAGGCCCUCGGGUUGUAAAGCACUUUCAGUGAGGAAGAACGCCUGGUGGUUAAUACCCAUCAGGAAAGACAUCACUCACAGAAGAAGCACCGGCUAACUCCGUGCCAGCAGCCGCGGUAAUACGGAGGGUGCGAGCGUUAAUCGGAAUUACUGGGCGUAAAGCGCGCGUAGGUGGCUUGAUAAGCCGGUUGUGAAAGCCCCGGGCUCAACCUGGGAACGGCAUCCGGAACUGUCAAGCUAGAGUGCAGGAGAGGAAGGUAGAAUUCCCGGUGUAGCGGUGAAAUGCGUAGAGAUCGGGAGGAAUACCAGUGGCGAAGGCGGCCUUCUGGACUGACACUGACACUGAGGUGCGAAAGCGUGGGUAGCAAACAGGAUUAGAUACCUGGGUAGUC